GAUGAACGCUGGCGGCGUGCUUAACACAUGCAAGUCGAACGAUGAAGCCCAGCUUGCUGGGUGGAUUAGUGGCGAACGGGUGAGUAACACGUGAGUAACCUGCCCUUGACUCUGGGAUAAGCCUGGGAAACUGGGUCUAAUACUGGAUAUGACUUCUCAUCGCAUGGUGGGGGGUGGAAAGAUUUAUUGGUCUUGGAUGGACUCGCGGCCUAUCAGCUUGUUGGUGAGGUAAUGGCUCACCAAGGCGACGACGGGUAGCCGGCCUGAGAGGGUGACCGGCCACACUGGGACUGAGACACGGCCCAGACUCCUACGGAAGGCAGCAGUGGGGAAUAUUGCACAAUGGGCGCAAGCCUGAUGCAGCGACGCCGCGUGAGGGAUGACGGCCUUCGGGUUGUAAACCUCUUUCAGUAGGGAAGAAGCGAGAGUGACGGUACCUGCAGAAGAAGCGCCGGCUAGCUACGUG
rnacentral:rRNA from 1 species